rnacentral:piRNA from 1 species
CNCCAAGCAAGAUGGCAGCUUCCGAGACGG